CUCAUUUCCAGCAGCCACACAAAACCCUUAGAAGAUCCGAGCUCGAGUGGAGCACGGUGACCUGCCGAUACUCGGAGAUUUUUGCUGUAUAUAAGUUUUGCAGACACAGGGAUCCUUUUGAUA